AGCGUAGGGUGCAAGCGUUUGUCCGGAAUUAUUGGGCGUAAAGAGCUCGUAGGCGGUCUGUCGCGUCGGCUGUGAAAACCUGGGGCUUAACUCCGGGCCUGCAGCCGAUACGGGCAGACUAGAGUUCGGCAGGGGAGACUGGAAUUCCUGGUGUAGCGGUGAAAUGCGCAGAUAUCAGGAGGAACACCGGUGGCGAAGGCGGGUCUCUGGGCAGUAACUGACGCUGAGGAGCGAAAGCGUGGGGAGCGAACAGG
rnacentral:rRNA from 1 species